UGCGCAUUUAAAUGGCUGAAAUACACUUCCUUCUUUGAGACAGACGGCCGACUCUAUGACAUUCACAAGGAGUAGUUUUGUCCAUUCUUCUGGGAAAAGGUCCCCAAGACAGAGGCCGACCAGCAUACAUGAGGCAGGGAGGCGGAGCGUGUGUUGUGGACUUGACGAAUAAAAUGACACAGUACAUCUACAUACAACAACGGGAGCACUUCCAUAAUUUCAAGACGUAGCAGAGAUGAACACUUCGAUGCUAGAGAGUUUAGACGUCUACAUUUUAGAGAAACUUGGUUUUAAGUCGGUUGACAACGCGCCCCCCAUUCCACAGCCCGAGGAGGCGCCACCACCACCGCCACCGCCCCCCUCCACUUCCUACUUCCUGUUUCAGGCUCUUGGUGUUUG